rnacentral:rRNA from 1 species
UGGGGAAUAUUGGGCAAUGGGCCGCAAGCCUGACCCAGCAACGCCGCGUGAAGGAAGAAGGCUUUCGGGUUGUAAACUUCUUUUCUUGGGGACGAAACAAUGACGGUACCCAAGGAAUAAGCCACGGCUAACUACGUGCCAGCAGCCGCGGUAAUACGUAGGUGGCAAGCGUUAUCCGGAUUUAUUGGGUGUAAAGGGCGUGUAGGCGGGACUGCAAGUCAGAUGUGAAAACUCAGGGCUCAACCCUGAGCCUGCAUUUGAAACUGUAGUUCUUGAGUGCUGGAGAGGCAAUCGGAAUUCCGUGUGUAGCGGUGAAAUGCGUAGAUAUACGGAGGAACACCAGUGGCGAAGGCGGAUUGCUGGACAGUAACUGACGCUGAGGCGCGAAAGCGUGGGGAAGCAAACAGGAUUAGAUACC